GACGAACGCUGGCGGCGUGCUUAACACAUGCAAGUCGAACGGAAAGGCCCUGCUUUUGUGGGGUGCUCGAGUGGCGAACGGGUGAGUAACACGUGAGUAACCUGCCCUUGACUUUGGUAUAACUUCAGGAAACUGGGGCUAAUACCGGAUAGGAGCUCCUGCUGCAUUGUGGGGGUUGGAACGUUUCGGCGGUUGGGGAUGGACUCGCGGCUUAUCAGCUUGUUGGUGGGGUAGUGGCUUACCAAGGCUUUGACGGGUAGCCGGCCUGAGAGGGUGACCGGCCACAUUGGGACUGAGAGACGGACCAGACUCCUACGGGAGGCAGCAGUGGGGAAUAUUGCACAAUGGGCGGAAGCCUGAUGCAGAAACGCCGCGUGCGGGAUGACGGCCUGCGGGGUGUAAACCGCUUUCGCCUGUGACGAAGCGUGAGUGACGGUAAUGGGUAAAGAAGCACCGGCUAACUACGUG
rnacentral:rRNA from 1 species